UGCGUAGAUGGAUGUUUAAGUCGGAUGUGAAAUCCCCGGGCUCAACCUGGGAAUUGCAUUCGAUACUGGAUGUCUAGAGUAUGGUAGAGGAAAGUGGAAUUCCCGGUGUAGCGGUGAAAUGCGUAGAUAUCGGGAAGAACAUCAAGGCGAAGGCAGCUUUCUGGACCAAUACUGACAUUGAGGCACGAAAGCGUGGGGAGCAAACA
rnacentral:rRNA from 1 species